ensembl:lncRNA
CCCCAGUCCACCUGGCCGUGCUGCUGCUCCAGUUUCAACUGUUCUGCCUCUGGGAAGAACUACUGGAUAUAAGAGCGACAUAUAAGAGUGACGAGCGAGCGAAGAGCGACGAAUGGAUCUAAUCCCAGAAACCGAACCAAAACAAUGGCGCCACAGAAAGAGCAGACGGAGCAUCCUCCUGGUCAGGCUCCGUAGACGUGCACAUCUCACACCGCUCUCGAGUACACUACUCACCAAUGUCCAGACUCUCGACAACAAGGUAGAUAAAAUGCGAGCAAGGGUUGCCUUCCAGGGAGACAUCAGAGAUUGUAACAUUCUUGGAAUAUUGGAAACAUGGCUCUCAGGAUAUGUUGUUGGAAUCGGUUCUCCAUGCAGGCCGACAGAGAUAAACACCUCUCUGGUAAGAGGAAGGUCGGGGUGUAUGCUUCAUGAUUAACGACUCAUGGUGUAAUCACAACAGCAUACAGGAACUCAAGUCCUUCUGCUCACCCGACCUAGGAUUCCUUACAAUCAAAUGCCGGCCAUAUUACCUCCCAAGAGAAUUCUCUUCAGUUAUUGUAACAGCUGUGUACAUUCCCCCCCAAGCAGACACCAUGACAGCCCACAAGGAACUUUACUGGACUCUAUGUAAACUGGAAACCAUAUAUCCUGAGGCUGCAUUUAUUGUAGCUGGGGAUUUAAAAAAAGCUCAUUUGAGAACAAAGCUACCUAAAUUCUAUCAGCAUAUUGAUUGCACUACACACAGGGGGAUAUACACUCAAUCACUGCUACUCUAACUUCUGCAAUACAUACAA